rnacentral:rRNA from 1 species
AAUCAACGCUGGCGGCGUGCCUAACACAUGCAAGUCGAACGCGAAAGUCCCGCAAGGGAUAAGUAGAGUGGCAAACGGGUGAGUAACACGUGGGUGACCUGCCUUCGAGCGGGGGAUAACGUCCCGAAAGGGACGCUAAUACCGCAUGACAUCCUGCCUUUGAAGAGGUGGAGAUCAAAGCUGGGGAUCGCAAGACCUAGCACUCGAAGAGGGGCCCGCGCCUGAUUAGCUAGUGGUGGGUAACGGCUCACCAAGGCGACGAUCAGUAGCCGGCCUGAGAGGGCGGACGGCCACACUGGGACUGAGACACGGCCCAGACUCCUACGGGAGGCAGCAGUGGGGAAUUGUUCGCAAUGGGCGCAAGCCUGACGACGCAACGCCGCGUGGAGGACGAAGACCUCGGGUC